GGUGGCUCAAUGGUAGAGCGCUUGCCUCACAUGCAUGAGGCGCUGAGUUUGACUCCUCAGCACCA
rnacentral:tRNA from 1 species